rnacentral:tRNA from 1 species
CGACUAAUAGCUCAGUGGUAGAGCUCCUGGUUCAUAUGCGGGAAGACCUGGGCUCGAUUCCCGGCUGCUUCU